GGAAAAUGCAUUGACCAGAGUAAAGAAAUCAUACUAAUUCAUUUCUCUUGCAAAUAACAAAUAUAAUAUUGGAAAUGAGUGGAUUGGAUCGGAAAUUGGAAAAGGAACACGUACCCCUAGGGGUUGGAUUGAGUUGAAGAAGUAUCAUCUGGCGCCUACCUGUCUGGAGUAAUGUUUUGUUUUGAAUGCUUGACCAUUGACUUAAGCUAAUUACUUAAGCAAUUUUAUACCUGGGAGAAUUUUAUGGUAUCGAUUAAUUCCUGUAAAUGUCAUAAUGGGAUUUUCUUGUUGUUUAGUUGGGAUAUGACUCAUUUUUGUAUGCGGAAGGACAUAAUUUUGGGCCAAAAUUGUCAUCAGUACUAUUUUGUUAGUUGUCCGGUGAGUGGUGCGGACAACUAACCCACCGUUGACUGAAGAGGUUUUCUCUGUAUAUUGAGAGAAUGGUCCAGAUGAAGUAGAAAAUUUAACAGUUUUAUAAGAGAAUCGUCGUUCGUUUUAGAUGUUUUACGUCGGCUUCAGGCUGGGGCCUAUGUCACCCUUCCAGGAAUUCAGGGAAUCUGUGUAGUUGUAUAGAUCAAGUAAUAUGUGAGGACUAUUGUGCCAUAACUAUUCCAAAAUAAGGGAUUUGAACAGCA